AGCAUAGCAACAGCAGCGUAGCUGAACAUCUUACGGAUGGCCCAGGGCUCCAAAGGCUCGUUUCCUAAGUGAGAGAGAGCCUGGCUGAAGCUGUAUUACCAUUCAUUCUCCAGCCUCCGAAGUCUCAAAGCAUCACUUCCACCAUACUCUAACUGUCAAGACAAACACAAAGGCCCAGAAAGAAGAAUACACUAUCGAUGUUCCUUUUAAACAAGUAUUUGAGUAAAAGCGAUGUUUCCAAUGUGUGUCAGAAAGUGAAUACUUGUAUAUUUCCGCACGGUUAGAGCUGAGCUUUCCGAGCAAAUUUUACUGGGACCCGGUUGAAAGACAGGUCUUGGAAGUGAAAUGAUGACUGACUAGAUGACAUUACAUGUAAAUGGAAUCAUACAAUAUGUGAUCUUUUGUGACUGGCUUCUUUCACUUAGCAUAACGUUUUCAAGGUUUGUUCGUGUUGUAGCAGAAACUGCCAGACUGUCUUCUGAAGUGGCUAUAAUAUUUACACUCCCAUCAGCAGUGUCUGAGUUUGCAGAGUAAACCACUACCCUGAAAUCUGGAAAGGCAGGUGCACCCACAGAUCCUCAGCUGAGAUCCAAUUACCUGAAAUAGAAGCUGCCAUUAGGAACACUUAAAAGAGCCUGUUCUGCUGGGACACAGAAUCACUUGCUCCAUCUCAUACAUUGAUGAUGAUUAAUUUGUAUGUGUACCUUCCAAAAA
rnacentral:lncRNA from 1 species